rnacentral:lncRNA from 1 species
UCCUAAGGAUGGAAGGAGGGAAGCCUACGCAGAAGCACUGGCCAAGGCAAAAGCAGAGGAAGAAGCACUUAAAGCCACUGAGAAAGCCCGUGAAGCAGCCGAGGCUGCAAAGAAGCUUGAACAAGAGGUGAAAAAGCUCUCAGAGCAAGAAACCCGUGCUGCUACUCUGGCUGAUGAGGCCAAAGAGAAGGCCGAGGCUGCUGGGGCUUCUGUGGAGGUCUUCUUGAGUAAAGCCAAAGACCUUGGCUCUGGACUCUCCUGGGAAAAGUUCAGCUCCCAGCUUGCCAUUUCUGUUCAAAAGCCCACUGAGAAACCUAAAGUGCAGAUUGCAACUGUCAGGGGACAGGCCAAGGCUCGGUCCCUCCAGCCAAAGAAAGCAGUUGUCAAACUGCCCACUUUUCCAAGACCCCCGGCUUUCAAACCCAAGGAGGAGCCAAAGCCUAAAGGUAAACAACCCGAAUCAAAGGCAGAAGUGAGGAAGGUGUUUGGAGGCCUGUUUAAACAAGAAACCAUAUACAUUGACGAUGACUGAGAGAUCUUUCCCCACUCAUUCGUAAUCUUUUGGGUUGGUUUGGUGCAGAUGUG